rnacentral:tRNA from 1 species
GGUCCUUUAGCUGAGAUAGAUUAGCGAUAGCCUGAAAAGCUUUAGAGGUCGGUGCGAUACCGUCAGGGACCAC